CUCCAUGAGACUCAAGCCAGAGAGGAUCUCUAUGAAUCAGCAAGCUGGGCUGUGACCUAUGGCCACAUGUGGCAAGUAAUGGCCCAGCUAGGUGACUCUGUCAACUGCGGAGAGGACAUUCAUGCCACUCAGGCCAUGGAGGAUAUACAACCUGCUGAACCAGCAAGCUGGGUUAUGAACUAUGGCCAGAUGUGGCAUGGAAUGGCCCAACAAGAUGGCCCUGUCCUCUACGGAGAGGAUCUCCAGGCCACUCAGGCCGGAGACGAUAUCCAGGCUGCUGAACCAGCAAGCUGGGCUAUGACCUAUGGCCAGAUGUGGCAAGACAUGGCCCAGUAGAUGGCCCUGCCCUCUGCAGAAUGCUCAUCAUGAACUCUUUCUCCACAGAUCUGGAAGAAGACCUGCCAUCUUUCAUCAUUGUGAAGUGAACAGCCAAGAAACUGGCCACUGAAGCUACCAUUCUUCAAGUAUUCAGCUUCCCUCAUUCAGCUGAACUGAACUUCAUUAUAUUAAAU